GGCCCUGUAGCUUAAUGGAUAGAGCAUCUGACUACGGAUCAGAAGGUUGGGGGUUCGAGUCUCUCCAGGGUCA
rnacentral:tRNA from 2 species